rnacentral:rRNA from 1 species
AAAAACCCAGGUGGUGUGAGAUGGAUCCGCGUCUGAUUAGCCAGUUGGCGGGGUAACGGCCCACCAAAGCGACGAUCAGUAGCCGACCUGAGAGGGUGACCGGCCACAUUGGGACUGAGACACGGCCCAAACUCCUACGGGAGGCAGCAGUGGGGAAUAUUGCACAAUGGGCGCAAGCCUGAUGCAGCGACGCCGCGUGAGUGAAGAAGUAUCUCGGUAUGUAAAGCUCUAUCAGCAGGGAAGAAAAUGACGGUACCUGACUAAGAAGCCCCGGCUAACUACGUGCCAGCAGCCGCGGUAAUACGUAGGGGGCAAGCGUUAUCCGGAUUUACUGGGUGUAAAGGGAGCGUAGACGGCGACGCAAGUCUGGAGUGAAAGCCCGGGGCCCAACCCCGGGACUGCUUUGGAAACUGUGCUGCUGGAGUGCAGGAGAGGUAAGUGGAAUUCCUAGUGUAGCGGUGAAAUGCGUAGAUAUUAGGAGGAACACCAGUGGCGAAGGCGGCUUACUGGACUGUAACUGACGUUGAGGCUCGAAAGCGUGGGGAGCAAACAGGAUUAGAUACCCUGG